CGUUCCCGGGUCUUGUACACACCGCCCGUCACACCACGAAAGUCAGCAACACCCGAAGCCGGUGGCCUAACCCGCAAGGGAAGGAGCCGUCGAAGGUGGGGCCGGCGAUUGGGGUG
rnacentral:rRNA from 1 species